rnacentral:rRNA from 1 species
GAUGAACGCUGGCGGCGUGCCUAAUACAUGCAAGUCGAGCGAACGGACGAGAAGCUUGCUUCUCUGAUGUUGGCGGCGGACGGGUGAGUAACACGUGGAUAACCUACCUAUAAGACUGGGAUAACUUCGGGAAACCGGAGCUAAAACCGGAUGAUAUUUUGAACCGCAUGGUUCAAAAGUGAAAGACGGUCUUGCUGUCACUUAUAGAUGGAUCCGCGCUGCAUUAGCUAGUUGGUAAGGUAACGGCUUACCAAGGCAACGAUGCAUAGCCGACCUGAGAGGGGGGGCGGCCACAGUGGAAUGGCACCCGGGACAGGCCUCCGCGGGGCGGCGCCAGGGGGAGUUCUUCAGGAAGGGGGAAAGGUCGGACGGAGCAGCGCGGGGGGAGGGAUAAGUGUCUACGGAUCAGAAAACUUUGUUAGGAGGAAAAAACAUAUGGGUAAGGAACGUUACACUUCUGGAGGUAACCUAAUAAAAAGACCAGGCCAAACUAGGGC